GUCGAGCGGAGACGGGAGCUUGCUCCUUGAUUCAGCGGCGGACGGGUGAGUAAUGCCUAGGAAUCUGCCUGGURGUGGGGGACAACGUUUCGAAAGGAACGCUAAUACCGCAUACGUCCUACGGGAGAAAGCAGGGGACCUUCGGGCCUUGCGCUAUCAGAUGAGCCUAGGUCGGAUUAGCUAGUUGGUGAGGUAAUGGCUCACCAAGGCGACGAUCCGUAACUGGUCUGAGAGGAUGAUCAGUCACACUGGAACUGAGACACGGUCCAGACUCCUACGGGAGGCAGCAGUGGGGAAUAUUGGACAAUGGGCGAAAGCCUGAUCCAGCCAUGCCGCGUGUGUGAAGAAGGUCUUCGGAUUGUAAAGCACUUUAAGUUGGGAGGAAGGGCAGUAAGWUAAUACCUUGCUGUUUUGACGUUACCGACAGAAUAAGCACCGGCUAACUCUGUGCCAGCAGCCGCGGUAAUACAGAGGGUGCAAGCGUUAAUCGGAAUUACUGGGCGUAAAGCGCGCGUAGGUGGUUCGUUAAGUUGGAUGUGAAAGCCCCGGGCUCAACCUGGGAACUGCAUCCAAAACUGGCGAGCUAGAGUAUGGUAGAGGGUGGUGGAAUUUCCUGUGUAGCGGUGAAAUGCGUAGAUAUAGGAAGGAACACCAGUGGCGAAGGCGACCACCUGGACUGAUACUGACACUGAGGUGCGAAAGCGUGGGGGAGCAAACAGGAUUAGAUACCCUGGUAGUCCACGCCGUAAACGAUGUCAACUAGCCGUUGGAAUCCUUGAGAUUUUAGUGGCGCAGCUAACGCAUUAAGUUGACCGCCUGGGGAGUACGGCCGCAAGGGUUAAAACUCAGAUGAAUUGACGGGGGACCCGYCACARGCGSGGCUG
rnacentral:rRNA from 1 species